GAUGAACGCUGGCGGCGUGCCUAAUACAUGCAAGUCGAGCGAACAGACGAGGAGCUUGCUCCUCUGACGUUAGCGGCGGACGGGUGAGUAACACGUGGAUAACCUACCUAUAAGACUGGGAUAACUUCGGGAAACCGGAGCUAAUACCGGAUAAUAUAUUGAACCGCAUGGUUCAAUAGUGAAAGACGGCCUUGCUGUCACUUAUAGAUGGAUCCGCGCCGUAUUAGCUAGUUGGUAAGGUAACGGCUUACCAAGGCAACGAUACGUAGCCGACCUGAGAGGGUGAUCGGCCACACUGGAACUGAGACACGGUCCAGACUCCUACGGGAGGCAGCAGUAGGAAAUCUUCCGCAAUGGGCGAAAGCCUGACGGAGCAACGCCGCGUGAGUGAUGAAGGUCUUCGGAUCGUAAAACUCUGUUAUCAGGGAAGAACAAACGUGUAAGUAACUGUGCACGUCUUGACGGUACCUGAUCAGAAAGCCACGGCUAACUACGUGC
rnacentral:rRNA from 1 species